rnacentral:rRNA from 1 species
CCUACGGGUGGCUGCAGUGGGGAAUAUUGGGCAAUGGAGGAAACUCUGACCCAGCAACGCCGCGUGAAUGAUGAAGGUCUUCGGAUUGUAAAGUUUCUUUCUUAGGGGAGAAGAAUGUGACGGUACCUUAGGAAUAAGCCUCCGCUAACUACGUGCCAGGAGCCGCGGUAAUACGUAGGAGGCGGUCGUUAGGCGGAAUGACUGGGAGUAAGGGUUGCGUAGGUGGUUUGGCAAGUUAGUAGGGUAACUCCGAGGCUCAACCUUGGAACUACUACUAAAACUGUUGGACUUGAGUGCAGGGGAGGCAAGCGGAAUGCCUAGUGUAGCGGUGGAAUGCGUAGAUAUUAGGAGGAACACCAGUGGCGAAGGCGGGUUGCUAGACUGUAACUGACACUGAGGCACGAAAGCGUGGGGAGCAAACAGGAUUAGAUACCCCAGUAGUC